rnacentral:misc_RNA from 1 species
UUUCCGUAGGUGAACCUGCGGAAGGAUCAUUACCGAGCUAGCCCAGGCGCCACCCCGCGAGUGAUGAAAGAUUCACUAACGCAGGGGAGGACCUCGGCAUACAGCCCAACCUUGCCUACCUGUAAACUGUUGCCUCGGCGGGCCGUGCCGCCCACGCGGCCGACCCCCGCUGCCUACCCGGCGGCGGUGGCCUGCGCCCGCCAGAGGGACCCUAAAUCUCAACCUUCGUGCCGAACGUCUGAGUGACUAUACAAAUAGUUUUAAAACUUUCAACAACGGAUCUCUUGGUUCCA